GACGUAGGGCGCGAGCGUUGUCCGGAUUUAUUGGGCGUAAAGAGCUCGUAGGCGGCUUGUCGCGUCGUUCGUGAAAACCCACGGCUCAACUGUGGGCUUGCGGGCGAUACGGGCAGGCUAGAGUUCGGUAGGGGAGACUGGAAUUCCUGGUGUAGCGGUGAAAUGCGCAGAUAUCAGGAGGAACACCGGUGGCGAAGGCGGGUCUCUGGGCCGAUACUGACGCUGAGGAGCGAAAGCGUGGGGAGCGAACAGG
rnacentral:rRNA from 1 species